AGCUCCAAUAGCGUAUAUUAAAGUUGUUGCAGUUAAAAAGCUCGUAGUUGGAUUUCUGGGUCAAGCUCCUGGUCCGCCGCAAAGCGGUGCUGACUGUGUGCAGCGUUGGCUCAUCCUUGUGGGAAACUCAGCAGGGCGUUCAGUCGUCGGUUGAGGGCACCGCAUCUUUUACNGUGAAAAAAUUGAGUGUUCAAAGCAGGCUUACGCUGUGAAUACAUUAGCAUGGAAUAAUAAGAUAGGACUUUGGUUCUAUUUUGUUGGUUGGAG
rnacentral:rRNA from 1 species